rnacentral:rRNA from 1 species
AUGUGUGGCGUACAAAACACAAAACACUUGUUUUCUUGGUAUCAGACAACUCGAUCCUGCCUCCUCCAACCCCAUCGCUCAUCACCACCGAUUCAAUCUCGCAUCCAGCUCAUGUCGACCAUCUCAGGCACCGCAUCGGCUACUAGCCCCAGCCUCUCCUCCACCUUGCUCGCAGCCAUGAACUCCACCUCCGGCACCCUCGUCACCGCUGCUAUGCCCGCCUCCGCCUCCCCGGCAGUGCAUAUUGCUAGCGUGCGCACUCAUGUGCCCGUCACGCUCGACCUCCAUGCCUCGAACUUCACCAAGUGGCGGAUGAUCGUCCGCGUCCUCCUCGGCAAGUACGACUUGCUCCCUCACGUCAACGUCGUCACCGCCGCGGCGGACCGCACGCCGGACUGGACUCGCGAUGACUACGUCGUUCGGUCCUGGCUCUACGGGUCCAUCUCCGACGAAAUCCUGGACAUAAUCAUGGCGGAGGAUCAAACUGCCCAGGAAGCAUGGAUGCUCAUCACCAACCUGUUUCUAGACAAUCAGAUGACUCGGGCUGUUUACCUUGAGGCGGAGUUCCGAGGUCUCGUCCAAGGUGACCUCUCCAUCACAGCCUACUGUCAUCGCCUCAAGGCCCUUUCGGAUGCUCUCAGCGACGUCGGCACCCCCGUCUCCGACCAAACUCUUGUCCUCAACUGCCUCCGUGGACUCAAUCCGCACUUCUCCGACAUCACGACGAUCGUCACCAUGCAGAAUCCUCUUCCGUCGUUCAACCAGACGAGGUCCUUGCUGACCCUCCGCGAGACCCAGCUCGCGAACUCCGCCACGCUCGGGACCCAGACGGCUCUCUAUGGUGGUGCGCCUCCCCACGGCGCCAGCGGCUCCACCCCCUCUAGUCCUCACCGGGGCGACGGUGCUCGGCAUGGCUACAACUCCGGGGGUGGCUCCUCCGGUGGAAACCGCAAUGGAGGCAACUGGCGGAAGAAGAAGGGCGCCGGCGGCGGGAACGGCGGCCGCUCCAACUCCCACGAUGGGAAUCUCCAGCGCGGGGCCUCCUCCUCUGUCGGUCCCUGGGUCUGCUUCAAUCCCUAUACGGGGCAAGCCCAGCACCUUCAGACGCCCCCAGCAGCACGGCCCAGUGCCGGGGCCGGCCUCCUCGGGCCACGGCCUCCAGUUCUCCCGCCAGCCCAGGCGUUCACCUCCCUGGCCCCGUUGCACGGCCAGGCCUUCGGCAGCAAUCCGCCGCCAACUCCUGCAUACGGCGGCACCCCGGCGUGGGACUGCUCCGCCCUCCUCGCUGCCCUAAACAACACUGCGACUCCAUCAACAGUUGGUGAGUGGGUAAUGGACUCGGGAGCCACGGCACACAUGGCCUCCGACCCCGGAUCUUCGCACCAAGGCCGUGAUUCUUCGCUGCAAUAG